CUUUUUUCCCCCACUGUAUAUUUUAGGCAGACGCUGUAGAUCCGUAGGUAACCAAACCACCCUGUGAAACGUCCAUCCAGCAUCUUAUUUUUACACCAUUUUCUCCCCAAUUGGCAGUUACAGUUUUGUCCCAUCGCUCCCGUACGGACUCGGGAGAGGCGAAGGCGAGAGCCGUGCGUCCUCUGAAAUACGACCCUUCCGAGCCGUAUUGCUUCUUGAAACACUGCUCUCUUAACCAGGGAAGCCAGCCGCACUAAUGUGUCGAAGGAAACACCGUACAACUGGCAACCGAAGUCAGCGUGCAUGUGCCCAGCCCGCAACAAGGACAUCCCAGCCGCCCAAACCCUCCCUUAACUCGGACGACGCUGGGACAAUUGUAUGCCGCCUCAUGGGUUUCCCGGUCACGGCCGGCUGCGACACAGCCUGGGAUCGAACCCGGGUCUGUAGUGACACCUCUAGCACUGCGAUGCAGUGCCUUAGAUCGCUGCGCCACUCAGGAGGCCAUCCAUGCAGCAUCUUAACGCCAACCAUUUGAUCUCAAUCAGUUUCAUGGGAAUAUACAUUUAGAUUUCAUAGGCUACUUUACACAGGCAACCCAAUUCUGAUCUUUUUCCACCUAUUGGUCUUUUACACAAGCACAUCAAAUCUUUUAAAAUCAGAUCUUUUUCAGAACUGAUCUGAUUGGUCAAAAGACCAAAAACAUAUAUUGGAAUUGGGCUGCCUGUGUAAAUGUAGCCGAUCGUUAUGUACAGUGUUGUUCUGAAUGAUGUACAGUGAGAGAAUUGUAGAGCAGAUGGUGUUAACAAACUGUUGCAUACCUGUGUUUAGCUCCAAUCAAGGCACAUAGUUUAUCUGGUGGUGCACACUGUUCAGUUGUGAGAGAAAAAUGUGGCCAUUCGCACAAUCUGAAAUGGCACCCUAUUUCAUAUAUAGUGGAGAGGAGUUGAGAGGUAGAGGAGUGGAGAGGAGAGGAAGAGGAGUGGAGAGGGAGAGGAGUGGAGAGGUAGAGGAGUGGAGAGGUAGAGGAGUGGAGAGGUAGAGUGAAGAGGAGAGGAAGAGGAGUGGAGAGGACUGGGAAGAGGAGCGGAGAGGUAGAGGAGUGGAGAUUAGAGGAAGAGGAGUGGAGAGGACUGGGAAGAGGAGCGGAGAGGUAGAGGAGUGGAGAGGACUGGGAAGAGGAGCGGAGGGGUAGAGGAGUGGAGAGGUAGAGGAGUGAAGAGGAGAGGAGAGGUAGAGGAGUGGAGAGGAAGAGGAGUGGAGAGGACUGGGAAGAGGAGCGGAGAGGUAGAGGAGUGGAGAGGAAGAGGAGUGGAGAGGACUGGGAAGAGGAGUGGAGAGGUAGAGGAGUGGAGAGGAAGAGGAGUGGAGAGGACUGGGAAGAGGAGUGGAGAGGUAGAGGAGUGGAGAGGAAGGGGAGUGGAGAGGUAGAGGAGUGGAGAGGUAGAGGAGUGGAGAGGAGUGGAGAGGAAGAGGAGUGGAGAGGUAGAGGAAAGGAGAGGAGUGGAGAGGUAGAGGA
rnacentral:lncRNA from 1 species